rnacentral:rRNA from 1 species
CGGGGUGCAUGGAGCUGAUCGCUUCGGUGUGAAGCACCAUGUUACCUAGUGGCGAACGGGUGAGUAACACAUGGGUAACCUGCCCUUAGGAUUGGGAUACUCCCGGGAAACCGGGCACAAUACCGAAUAUGAUUCCGAGGUGAAAUGCCUAGGGAUAAAAGCUCCGGGCAACCGUAGCACCUGAGGAUGGGCCCGUGGCCUAUCAGCUUGUUGGUGAGGUAAAAGCUCACCAAGGCCGAGACGGGUAGCCGGACUGAGAGGUCGAUCGGCCACACUGGAACUGAGACACGGUCCAGACUCCUACGGGAGGCAGCAGUGGGGAAUUUUGCGCAAUGGGCGAAAGCCUGACGCAGCGACGCCGCGUGGGGGAAGAAGGCCUUCGGGUUGUAAACUCCUUUAGUACGGGAAGAAGCCUUCGGGUGACGGUACCGUAAGAAUAAGCCACGGCUAACUCUGUGCCAGCAGCCGCGGUAAGACAGAGGUGGCAAGCGUUGUUCGGAUUUACUGGGCUUAAAGGGCGUGUAGGCGUCCUGAUAAGUCAGAUGUGGAAGCCUUGGGCUCAACCCAAGAAUUGCAUUUGAAACUGUCGGGAUUGAGUCGUGCAAGGGAGGGCGGAAUUCCUGGUGUAGCGGUGAAAUGCGUAGAUAUCAGGAGGAAGGCCGGUGGUGAAGACGGCCCUCUAGGCAAUGACUGACGCUGAGGCGCGAAAGCGUGGGGAGCAAACAGGAUUAGAUACCCCGGUAGUCCUAGCUGUAAACGAUGAGCACUUGGUUGAGGGAACUUCCACAUUCUCUCAGCCGG